AAGACUUAAAACACACUAGAAACAUCAAAAAAAAAGUUGAAAAUUUACUGUUUCUGCGAAACCAUUUGAGAAUAAAAAAUUAUUCUGUAUAUUAUUUAUUAUGUUGGCCAAUUUUUGUAAUAUCAAAUGAUAAAUCAACCUUAAAAAUUU
ensembl:ncRNA B0350.70 ncRNA